rnacentral:rRNA from 1 species
AAUUCCUUGUCGGGUAAGUUCCGACCCGCACGAAUGGCGUAACGACUUGACCGCUGUCUCAGCGAGAGACUCAGCGAAAUUGACGUGCUGGUGAAGAUACCAGCUGCCCGCAACUAGACGGAAAGACCCUGUGCACCUUUACUAUAGCUUGACAGUGGGUGUUAGAAUCGCUUGUGUAGGAUAGGUGGGAGGCUGUGAACCGGAGGCGCUAGCUUCCGGGGAGCCAACGGUGAAAUACCACCCUGGUGAUUCUGACAUCCUCACCGCAUCCCGUAAUCCGGGAUCGGGACCCUGUCUGGUGGGUAGUUUGACUGGGGCGGUCGCCUCCUAAAGAGUAACGGAGGCGCCCAAAGGUUCCCUCAGGCUGGACGGAAACCAGCCGACGAGUGCAAAGGCAUAAGGGAGCUUGACUGUGAGACUGACAAGUCGAACAGAUGGGAAACCAGGGCUUAGUGAUCCGGUGGUCCCGUGUGGAAGGGCCAUCGCUCAGCGAAUAAAAGGUACGCCGGGGAUAACAGGCUGAUCUCCCCCAAGAGUUCACAUCGACGGGGAGGUUUGGCACCUCGAUGUCGACUCAUCGCAUCCUGGGGCUGUAGUCGGUCCCAAGGGUUGGGCUGUUCGCCCAUUAAAGCGGUACGAGAGUUGGGUUCAGAACGUCGUGAGACAGUUCGGUCCCUAUCUGUUGUGGGCGUAGGAGAUUUGAGAGGAUCGAUCCCUAGUACGAGAGGACCGGGAUGGACUGACCUCUGGUGUGUCGGCUGUCGUGCCAACGGCAGGCCGAGUAGCUAUGUCGGGACGGGAGAACCGCUGAAAGCAUCUAAGUGGGAAACCCACCUCAAGACGAGAUCUCCCACCGCGCAAGCGGUCUGAAGACCCCUGGAAGACGACCAGGUUGAUAGGCUGGGCAUGCAAGACCUGCAAGGGUUGUAGUGUACCAGUACUAAUCGGUCGAGAGACUUGAGUCC